GCGCGUUUAGCUCAGUGGUAGAGCGUCACAUUGACAUUGUGAAGGCCGAAGGUUCAAUCCCUUCAACGCGCACCG
rnacentral:tRNA from 3 species